UGUUGGCUCAGGGGGUAGAGCAUCUGCCUUCUGUGCAGAAGGGCCCAGGUUCAAUCCCUGGCAUCUCAG